rnacentral:rRNA from 1 species
UACGUAGGGUGCGAGCGUUAAUCGGAAUUACUGGGCGUAAAGCGUGCGCAGGCGGUUCGUCGUGUCCGAUGUGAAAGCCCCGGGCUCAACCUGGGAAUGGCAUUGGAACUGGACGGACUCGAGUGUGGCAGAGGGGGGUGGAAUUCCGCGUGUAGCAGUGAAAUGCGUAGAGAUGCGGAGGAACACCGAUGGCGAAGGCAGCCCCCUGGGCUAACACUGACGCUCAGGCACGAAAGCGUGGGGAGCAAACAGG